rnacentral:rRNA from 1 species
GACGAACGCUGGCGGCGUGCCUAAUACAUGCAAGUAGGACGCACAGUUUAUACCGUAGCUUGCUACACCAUAGACUGUGAGUUGCGAACGGGUGAGUAACGCGUAGGUAACCUGCCUAUUAGAGGGGGAUAACUAUUGGAAACGAUAGCUAAUACCGCAUAACAGUAUGUAACACAUGUUAGAUGCUUGAAAGAUGCAAUUGCAUCGCUAGUAGAUGGACCUGCGUUGUAUUAGCUAGUAGGUAGGGUAAUGGCCUACCUAGGCGACGAUACAUAGCCGACCUGAGAGGGUGAUCGGCCACACUGGGACUGAGACACGGCCCAGACUCCUACGGGAGGCAGCAGUAGGGAAUCUUCGGCAAUGGGGGGAACCCUGACCGAGCAACGCCGCGUGAGUGAAGAAGGUUUUCGGAUCGUAAAGCUCUUUUGUUAAGGAAGAAACGAGUGUGAGAAUGGAAAGUUCAU